rnacentral:misc_RNA from 1 species
GAUGAAGAACGUAGCGAAAUGCGAUAAGUAAUGUGAAUUGCAGAAUUCAGUGAAUCAUCGAAUCUUUGAACGCACAUUGCGCCCGUCAGUAUUCUGGCGGGCAUGCCUGUUCGAGUGUCAUUACGCCCCUCAAGUCCCCUGUGGACUUGGUGUUGGGGAUCGGCGAGGCUGGUUUUCCAGCACAGCCGUCCCUUAAAUUAAUUGGCGGUCUCGCCGUGGCCCUCCUCUGCGCAGUAGUAAAACACUCGCAACAGGAGCCCGGCGCGGUCCACUGCCGUAAAACCCCCCAACUUUUUAUAGUUGACCUCGAAUCAGGUAGGACUACCCGCUGAACUUAAGCAUAUCAAUAAGCGGAGGA